ACGAACGCUGGCGGCGUGCUUAACACAUGCAAGUCGAACGGAAAGGCCCUGCUUUUGUGGGGUGCUCGAGUGGCGAACGGGUGAGUAACACGUGAGUAACCUGCCCUUGACUUUGGGAUAACUUCAGGAAACUGGGGCUAAUACCGGAUAGGAGCUCCUGCUGCAUGGUGGGGGUUGGAAAGUUUCGGCGGUUGGGGAUGGACUCGCGGCUUAUCAGCUUGUGGGUGGGGUAGUGGCUUACCAAGGCUUUGACGGGUAGCCGGCCUGAGAGGGUGACCGGCCACAUUGGGACUGAGAUACGGCCCAGACUCCUACGGGAGGCAGCAGUGGGGAAUAUUGCACAAUGGGCGGAAGCCUGAUGCAGCAACGCCGCGUGCGGGAUGACGGCCUUCGGGUUGUAAACCGCUUUCGCCUGUGACGAAGCGUGAGUGACGGUAAUGGGUAAAGAAGCACCGGCUAACUACGUG
rnacentral:rRNA from 1 species